rnacentral:lncRNA from 1 species
UGGUAGAGGAGGAUAUUAUGGAUCAGGAUGCUUUGGAACUAAUUAAAAUUUUCUGGGUUGAUGCUUUAAAAUCAAAAGAAAUUGAAAUGCAAAUGCAAAUGCUUCAAAUGCAAAUGAAACUAGAGGCUCAUGAGAGCCUGGAUCGCUCACCUGGCUUUGAUAAGCUUAUUUGAACAUUUGUAUGUUUUACCCAUAGAGUCCUAUGUUAAACAAUGUCCCCCUGCUGACAGUCAUCCAUCUUCGCUAGCCAAGGAUUACGAUCCGGUGCCCCUCCUCUUCACCCUUGGCAGAUUGAGUCAGAAUUUAUGAAAAUUGCGUUGUGCCUUCUAGCGGAUGAUCGAAGUCAUGCCUUCUCUGACUACAUCAUUACUGAUCACUGAGAGCAAUUGUAUUUUUUGUGGCUUUAGAUGUAACUAUAUUUAACAAUCAUGUCAGAGUAGUCCGGGAAUAUCGAAAAUAUCUCAAUGUUCAAUAAACUAAUUAAAAAUGGUAAAAGUGUCUCUUAAAAGUGAAAUUCUAUGUUGUGGGAUAGGGAUUCCUGGCACAAUCAACACAUGCUCGUUGCUGAUAGAUCUUGACAUAAUGAACAUUUUCAACCCAUGUCAGAUUUGCUCUAAAUGCUUUAGUUUUUGAGAUAUAAGCCAAAAACUGCAUUUUACCCCUAUGUUCUAUUUUUAGCCAUGCUGGCCAUUUUUUUUGAUGAAAUGGAAAAUAAAACACAAACUUUAUUCUAGAUACCCUAAGG